GAUGAACGCUGGCGGCGUGCCUAAUACAUGCAAGUCGAGCGAACAGACGAGGAGCUUGCUCCUCUGACGUUAGCGGCGGACGGGUGAGUAACACGUGGAUAACCUACCUAUAAGACUGGGAUAACUUCGGGAAACCGGAGCUAAUACCGGAUAAUAUAUUGAACCGCAUGGUUCAAUAGUGAAAGACGGUUUUGCUGUCACUUAUAGAUGGAUCCGCGCCGCAUUAGCUAGUUGGUAAGGUAAUGGCUUACAAAGGCAACGAUGCGUAGCCGACCUGAGAGGGUGAUCGGCCACACUGGAACUGAGACACGGUCCAGACUCCUACGGGAGGCAGCAGUAGGGAAUCUUCCGCAAUGGGCGAAAGCCUGACGGAGCAACGCCGCGUGAGUGAUGAAGGUCUUCGGAUCGUAAAACUCUGUUAUUAGGGAAGAACAAAUGUGUAAGUAACUAUGCACGUCUUGACGGUACCUAAUCAGAAAGCCACGGCUAACUACGUG
rnacentral:rRNA from 1 species